GAUUCAGUAGCUCAGUCGGCAGAGCAUCUGCCUUUUAAGCAGAGGGUCCGGGGUUCGAAUCCCCGCUGAGUCACCA
rnacentral:tRNA from 1 species